rnacentral:rRNA from 1 species
GAUGAACGCUGGCGGCGUGCCUAAUACAUGCAAGUCGAGCGAACAGAUGAUGAGCUUGCUCCUCUGACGUUAGCGGCGGACGGGUGAGUAACACGUGGAUAACCUACCUAUAAGACUGGGAUAAAUUCGGGAAACCGGAGCUAAUACCGGAUAAUAUAUUGAACCGCAUGGUUCAAUAGUGAAAGACGGUUUUGCUGUCACUUAUAGAUGGAUCCGCGCCGCAUUAGCUAGUUGGUAAGGUAACGGCUUACCAAGGCAACGAUGCGUAGCCGACCUGAGAGGAUGAUCAGCCACACUGGAACAGAGACACGGUCCAGAAUCCUACGGGAGGCAGCAGUAGGGAAUCGUCCGCAAUGGGCGAAAGCCUGACGGAGCAAGGCCGCGUGAGUGAUGAAGGUCUUCGGAUCGUAAAACUCUGUUAUUAGGGAAGAACAAAUGUGUAAGGAAAUAUGCACGUCUUGACGGUACCUAAUCAGAAAGCCACGGCUAACUACGUG